rfam:Aedes aegypti strain Liverpool supercont1.405 genomic scaffold, whole genome shotgun sequence.
GGCUCGGUAGCUUAGUUGGUAAAGCGCUCGUCUAGCAUACAAGAGUCCUGGGUUCAAAUCCCAGCCGAGUAC